rnacentral:rRNA from 1 species
AACCCUUGACAUCCCUAUCGCGAUUUCCAGAGAUGGAUUGGUGCCUGCUUGCAGGAGCUUUCAUAC